AAGUCGUAACAAGGUUUCCGUAGGUGAACCUGCGGAAGGAUCAUUGCCGGUUCUAUUUUGAAGGGGGGAGGUUCUCCCCUGAUCCACACCUCUGUGCACUUUGGGGGACUCGAGAGGGUCCUCCCGUUAUGAACGCCCUUGUCUCUCGUGUGUAAUUUUGAAAGGCAAAGUCUUUGAAACACAACUUUCAACAACGGAUCUCUUGGCUUUC
rnacentral:misc_RNA from 1 species